rnacentral:misc_RNA from 1 species
GUUUUUUUUAAGCGGUGGGUUUGUUACUGGUUUAACUAAAAACAGUAUUGUAGCUACAAUGAAAAUACAAAAGUAGAACUUAAAAUAUGUGGCAUUUGAAGAUUCAGAAGUGUAUGUGUUGAACUGCUUAAAUUGGUGAAUCAUUCUUCCUUUAACCCUUUUGAGUAACUGAUUGAUUGAGUGAAUUUAGCAGAAUCUGUCACCUUCCUUAUUGAUAAAUUCUGCCCAGGUCAGACCAUCAAAUGAGUAGAUUGGCUUUUCAAUAACAUUUCCAGGAGCUUCAUAAACAGUAGUCCUUGUGUUGUCCCAUCUUUCA